rnacentral:lncRNA from 1 species
GGAUUUACAAAAAUUCUUUUGGGUUAUAGUAAAUAAUAAUAAUAAUAAUAAUAAUACGAGUUGAGCUAGAAUACUCUCAAAAGCACUAAGGAGGUGGCGCUUUUGAAUUUUUAACUAUUGGAUAGAGAGAUGUAGGGUUGAGAUAAUUGUGAUGGUGGUGGUAGGUGGAAUAGUGUUUGAUCCAAGUGGUAUUAAUAAUUAAGCAGUAGAUCCAAGGGCUAGAAACUUAGAAACACAAAGAGAUUGGUGUUUCUAAAAAUAUUCUAACUCAAUUCAUAAUAAUCCUAUUAGAGAAAAAAAGCCUUUGGAUAAUAACACUCCGUUUGGCUCGGGUAUAAAGGGGGGGAUAAGGGGGAUAU